rnacentral:piRNA from 1 species
UUACAAACCACCUUUUCCUCCUCAGA